AAGCUACAUGCAAUUUGAGAUAUCUUCUACCUUUUAAAAUAGCUGUGUAAAAGGAGGUAAGAAAUGAUAGUGCACACUGGUGUUAAGAACCUUGUCACACAUCUUGUACUGUCCUCAGUAUAGCAUUCUCUACAUUCCAGAGACCCAAAGAAAUCCUUGGGGUUCCAAAUUUUAGAUACUAAGAUAAGGACAAAGCAAGCAGUGUUCUCCUUGGCCAGCAAUGGGAGACUGACUGGAAAUCGAAGAGCUGGAAUCAGAGCGCUUAAUUUUUUUUUUUUUUUGUGGGGGGUACAGACAGAAUCAUACUAUGUUGCCCAGGCUGGUCUCGAACUCCUGGGCUCCAGUGAUCCUCCCUUUUCCUAUGUUUAGAUUAUUGUCUUAGAUUCUAAACAAAUUGCUAUACAAAGGGAAGUGUGACUAUUUAUAGUAGUCACAGUGAUUUACUAAAACAUAGACCAAAUCAUAUUGUUUCUCAGCUGAAAACCUCUGGUUAACCACUGUCUUUUUUUUUUUUUUUUUUGAGACAGAGUCUCACUCUGUUGCCCAGGCUAGAGUUCAC
rnacentral:lncRNA from 1 species